rnacentral:ncRNA from 2 species
UUUGCUAUCAUAUCAAAGGAUUAUAUAAGUUCAUGAUAUGGAUGAACGUUUCUACUAACUGCCGCAAAUGGUUAUCUAUAAUCUUUAUUAUAGGUGAA